UUCAGGCCUAAGCCAAUUAGUGCAGAGCAUCCUGCCAGCUGUAGGGAUUAGUUCAGAAAUGAGCGUACGUUUUGAAUAAAAAAGGUGCAAGGGGAAAUUUUCUGGGGCUUCUGCAGAUAUUGUCCUCUCUCUCUGGAGAAAGCAUCAGCAGGAGCCAGUUUGAUCCUCUGACAUUGCUGUGUGUGGAUAUGAGUUCUGGGGAUACUGCAGCCACCUCACAAGAAGCUUGUGCGUGACACUGGUGCAGCGGUGGGAAUGGCCAGGAGCAUCACAGAGACCACUGGAUAAAGCCAAUCCUGAAGCUUCCUGCUAUGUGGGCCAACAGAUGUCCUUAUUGUUCCAACGGUCUGAGAGCCCAAGGUAUACCAGCAUGAAGAGGAUCACCUGAGUUACCUGGAGAUAUUGAGAUAUGCCCACCCCUACCACCAUGUGCCUGCUGUGUAAAGCUCAAUGGGCCAUUACCAGGACCAUCCCAGUCCACUGUCUUCCAGGAAGCUCUGUACAACCAUCAGAAUCAUUCUGACCUGGCCACUGGAGUGUGUUCUUCAUUCUCCUGCACCACCCUCGUGUAUACCACUUUGGUUCUGACAUUGCACUGUUUCAGAAUGCUGUCAAGGUGGGUCUCAUGAGGAAUGGUAUCCAGGUCAGGGACAAACAAGGAGACCAAGGACAGCCAUGAGCAAGUUUCAGGAAGUUCCAUCACACAGCUGAGAAAUGGGAUAUGAUGUGGCCACAGUCUAAGCUGGACAAAGCGGAGUCUGAAAAAGGAACUUAUCUAACUGUAUUCUAUGGGUAUUUGCUCAGUGGAAAUUCAGAAGGCUGGAACUAACAGCAUGGGCCUUUUCCUCAAGUACCUCUGCACUUAAGAAAGGAUGCUUUCUACUGCUCUCAGCCCAAGUAUUCCCUCUAGUAUCAUUCAAUGGUGAAUAGCUCACCAAAUUGGCAAUGGCUAAGUUUGAACAAAAUGAAUAUAUUAGCAAUGACUGAAACCAAUAAAG
rnacentral:lncRNA from 10 species